UGUCGAUGAAGAGCACAGCCAACUGUGUGAAUUAAUGUGAACUGCAUACUGCUUUGAACAUCGACAUCUUGAACGCAUAUUGCGGCCAUGGGUUAGCCUGUGGCCACGCCUGUCCGAGGGUCG
rnacentral:rRNA from 1 species